CCCAUUCCAUCUGAAACGUAUUUGGGUUUUUAAUUGCAUCAGUUUCAAUCAAUCUUCCAUUCCACCUGAAACGCGUUUCACGUUUUCACUUCUUCUUCCGUUCCUUUUCUCAUCCCAUUCUCCUUCUUUGCGUCGUUGAUCUGCCAAGUUAACUAGGGUUUUGAAAUAGAGAGAGGUCGAGACAGUGAUGGUGUGAGCCUGCAGCAGACGAUGCGAUUCACCGAAGCAGUGUCGUGAGUGAGAGAGAGGGGUCCAACCGAAGAGAUGAGGCAGAAGUUGGUGGGCUUGGUCUGCAGAAAAACGAACGAAAUGGAAUAUAGGAAUGGUCACGCCUGUGAUGAAGAUGGCGUCGCUGUGACAAGUCUGCAGUGCAGAGAGAGUGCAAAAUUGAAUGAGUGUGCAGAGAGGGUGAGAAACGUGAAAGACAGAAAUCAAAUUGGAAAGUUCAUGUGUUUUUUGUUUCGAACGACAUAAGCCCUAAUUGGAUUCCGCUCUAUUUCAACUCAAGUGGUUCAUAACCAGAUGAAGAGUGUGAAGGAAAUCCAAAGGAAUGAAGAUGGUUGCUGUCUCCAAGCUACAAGUAUGUUUUUAUUUAUGAUCUAUAAGCACCCCUUCAGAUUGUAGUGUUUUUUUUUUAUAAAACGUGAUCUAUGUACAAAGUGUACUUUUAAAUAUUUUCUUUUUUAGUGGCUGUAAUCAUAAGUUUUGAUUAUGAAUUGCAGCAAAUUGUGGAACAGGCCAUUGAUAUUUGUAGGUUUUUUUAAGGGAGUUGUGCUGCUAUUGUGGAUUCAGGAACAUCUUUGCUUGCUGAUCCAAUUUUACUUGCUUACAUUUUUGCCAUACCUUUUUCAUUUAUACUUUUUUUUGGCUGGAUUAUUUUCAGAGGUUGUUGUGUGAUAAACGUCACAGCAAUUGAUGAACCAUCGCUGCUUCUCUGGAUUCAAAGCUAAUUUGUCUUCUUUAGGGACUUAUCUUCUCUUCUUUUGUAGAUUAAUACUGCCUGAAAUCUCACUUUGCAUAUUAACUGUAAGUUGUUCAUUGAACGUUGGUUGUGUCAUGACCGAAGGAAGUGUGGUGGCAAAGAAGCUAUUGGAGGUGCUUAGAAGUCUUCCAUUUAAGCUUCAGGGUAGUUAUGGAGCUUAUGGACUUAAGUCUCUCAUAGAUUUUACUUCUUCAUUUUUCCUGCUAUUGUAUCCCUUCUUUUUCUCUACUGAUUGUUUCACAUUUCAUGGCAAGGACAAGAAAACAAAUGUUUACAAAAAGAUUGGGGAAGGAGGGAACAACAAUGGAUCAGAGGUGCAUCGAGGUGUUUCUGACUUGAGGCAACAUACUACUCAUCUAUACUAUGGAAGCAGCCAUUGCCAUUGAUCUUGGCUGUUGUUUCUUUUUCCUCACAACCCUUUCACUGUAAAAAAAACAAAACGGAACUCUGCUUUUGUAACGCAUGAUUACACUUCCUCUUCCUUUUUUUUCCCGUUCUAAACUGAUAACAACGAUGUAGGGUUUUGAAAAUGUAUAUGUACCUUCUACAAUAAACCUUUUGGAUUACGAUUGGAACACCGAAGAUUCACCUCUGUCGAACGGGUUGGAACUGAGAAGCAGUAUUAGAGAUUCAUCUUCUGAUGCCGUAAGAAUCAGAUUUACCAGGUUUUCAGUUUUCUGUCUCGAUCUCAUUCUUAGCCCGUUCUUUUUAAUCUUGAUGUUUAUUGCUUGCUAGGGUUAAAGUUGCAGAAAGUCUACGUUUUUGCUCUAUGCGUCGUUUCUCCAUUCUUUGGGGCUUACCUUGGGUUUGCGAUUUCAGUUUCCUCCUAUGCUACCUGAAUGAUAUCUUACUGCUGCAUAACAUCUAUGUAUGAAUUUAUUUGUUGCAACGUUUUGGUUCUAUUCUACGAUACAUAUUUCUUUGAAGGUAAUUUUGUUUCCUUUCUCUUCAUUUUUUCUGCAAUAAUUCUUAUUCAGAAAGCCUACAGAUGAUUCAUGAGUGUUUGCUUACUCUGUGUAGUGUGUAGGCUUAUGAGUCUUAUUUGUGCAUAUAUACUGUGGUCUGUUUUGUUUAAAUAAAUUUUAAAACUGAAGUUUCUGCUUAUAUCUAGGGAUGGAUAGUUUUUAUACAGGUUGGUUCAAUUGUUGUUGAUGGCCGAUAGGACAACCUGAUAGGGAUGUUUGGUUCAAACCAAGUUCCAACAGUUGGUGUAAGCCUGAGAAUGAAGAGAGUAUUUUCCAUAAUGGAGCAGCAUUGGAAGGAUCAGAAUCAGAUGCUUAUAACUAGCAUUAGUUGUAGAUGUGAAAACAAAUAACUUAUGAAUAAUGGUUUGGAUGUUGUUUAAUUCUUGCUUUUGCGGACCUAUUUUUCGGACUAGGAGAACCAAGUUCACUAUUCUCUAAAAUUCGUUUAUAACACAAUCUAUAGUGAAUACUUUGAUUAACAUGACUUUUGUGCCCUUUGCAGUUAAUGACGUGAUGAGAGUUCCUUUUUCCCCAAACUUAUAAUGCAGUUUGAACCUAUAUGAAGCUUUCUAUCAAAUUUACAAAUUCAUAUAUGAGAGAUUAAUUAGCUAUUUGCCUCCUUUGUGUAUGAAGGAGAUUCACCUAUGUUUUAUGGCUAGGCUUAUAAAUUGCCAAAAGGUCACACUUAGUUCUUAUGAUCAAAUUCGGUUAUGUUGCUCUUUCGGUGAAGAACAAGGUUUCCCUUCAGAAUUCGAUCCCUUUGGAAUGACUUACUUCAACAAACCAGUAGGCAUAGCUUCUCUUUUCUUUUCUUUUUUCUCAAAAACUGUAGAGGCACAAAAAAUCCUUAAUUAUUACUAAAAUUUAGCUGAAAUGGAUAAUAUUCUUGAUUGUGUUACGAAAGCUAGCAAUUUGACUAUAUGAGAGACCUGAGUGCGUUGAAGUAUACACAAAUGAGAAAUCAACCACAAAGAAAAAAAAUAAUUAGUAUAAUAUUUUGCAGUUUAUACGAAGAGUUUUUUUUUUGGUCAAGUGUUGUUUUGUUCAUGAGUGUGUGUGUGUGUGUUUUCUUUUAAUUUGGAGUAAUAUACAAGUGUUUCUUUAUUUGUUGUUUUGUUGGCCUGGAUUGUCUUUGUCGUUUAGGAAAGGUGAACAAACAGGAAUCAAUUCAAAGGCUUCAUGAUUAGCGUGAUCAGAGGUACAAGAAGGAAUUGCUAUAUUUCUCUAUCAUUGUAUAUUGAACUAUUUCUGUGCUAUUCACCUAUGUGUUGAUUUAAGAGGAGUUGCAAAGGUCAUUAUUUUGUCUGUAAUGGUGUGUUAAGGAUGAUUUAUGGUCUUCCAGGCCAGCUUUCCCCCAUGUUCUUCUACAUUCAUUUUCUAAUUAAGUGGAUUUGAGCAAGGGCACCCUCCUUCCAUGAUUUCGUAUGCAGUUCUCUAAGAUUUCUUUCUAUCUGUCAAUUGAAGUCAAGCCAAGCUUUGCUCCUGUCUAAUGGUCAUGCCUCAACUGUAUCGUGAUAUCCAAAGAAUCUUCUCCUUGAAUUGGAGGCUUCAGAGCUUGAAGGUUUCCUCUUUUGAUUUAUUUAGAAGAGCAUUUGAAAGUCAAGUAUGAUGUUGGUGAAUUGAGAACUCACAAGAAAUGUUAAAAUGAGUAUGAGGGCAUAGGAGGUUUACACUACGACAAUUUUCUUCUGCAAUUUUUCUUUAUAUACAAAUGUAUUUGUGAAAAAGGAAAAAAUGGUCAUUCCAUUUCAUCUUCAUUUUUGCACUUAAAUGAGCUUCCUUAGUCA